AUUGAACGCUGGCGGCAUGCUUUACACAUGCAAGUCGAACGGCAACGCGCGUUUCGGUGUCGCGGCGUGUCGCACGCGUGUGUGAUAUACCUGAACGCGUGCCCUCGAGGGGGGGAACGCGGCGAGAGCGCUGCUAUUACCCCACACGAUCUACGGAUGAGAGCAGGGGGCCGCGAGACGUCGCGCGCACUUAGCGCCGGAUGGCAGAUUAGGUAGUUGGUGGGGUAAAAGCUUACCAAGGCGACGAUCUGUAGCUGGUCUGAGAGGAUGAUCAGCCACACUGGGACUGAGACACGGCCCAGACUCCUACGGGAGGCAGCAGUGGGGAAUUUUGGACAAUGGGCGCAAGCCUGAUCCAGCCAUGCCGCGUGCAGGAUGAAGGCCUUCGGGUUGUAAACUGCUUUUGUACGGAACGAAAAGCCUUCUUUUAAUACAGGAGGGUCAUGACGGUACCGUAAGAAUAAGCACCGGCUAACUACGUG
rnacentral:rRNA from 1 species